UACGUAGGGGGCUAGCGUUGUCCGGAAUCAUUGGGCGUAAAGAGCGUGUAGGCGGCUCGGUAAGUCCGCUGUGAAAGUCCAGGGCUCAACCCUGGAAUGCCGGUGGAAACUGCCGGGCUAGAGUCCGGAAGAGGCGAGUGGAAUUCCCGGUGUAGCGGUGAAAUGCGCAGAUAUCAGGAGGAACACCGGUGGCGAAGGCGGGUCUCUGGGCCGAUACUGACGCUGAGGAGCGAAAGCGUGGGGAGCGAACAGG
rnacentral:rRNA from 1 species